rnacentral:rRNA from 1 species
AGAGUUUGAUCAUGGCUCAGGAUGAACGCUAGCGGCAGGCUUAAUACAUGCAAGUCGAACGGUAAGGUCUCUUCGGAGAUACACGAGUGGCGCACGGGUGCGUAACGCGUAUGCAAUCUACCUCAAACUGGGGAAUAGCCCCGAGAAAUCGGGAUUAAUACACCAUAACAUCUACGAAUCGCAUGGUUUGUAGAUUAAAGCUUCGGCGGUUUGAGAUGAGCAUGCGUGACAUUAGCUAGUUGGUGAGGUAACGGCUCACCAAGGCCACGAUGUCUAGGGGUCCUGAGAGGGUUAACCCCCACACUGGUACUGAGACACGGACCAGACUCCUACGGGAGGCAGCAGUAAGGAAUAUUGGGCAAUGGACGCAAGUCUGACCCAGCCAUGCCGCGUGCAGGAUGACGGCCCUAUGGGUUGUAAACUGCUUUUGUACGGGAAAAAUUCCCCGGUCGUGAAUCGGGGUUGAUGGUACUGUACGAAUAAGCAUCGGCUAACUCCGUGCCAGCAGCCGCGGUAAUACGGAGGAUGCAAGCGUUAUCCGGAUUUAUUGGGUUUAAAGGGUGCGCAGGCGGAAUGAUAAGUCAGUGGUGAAAUCUCCCAGCUUAACUGGGAAACUGCCAUUGAUACUGUCAUUCUUGAGUACAGUUGAAGUGGGCGGAAUGUGUCAUGUAGCGGUGAAAUGCAUAGAUAUGACACAGAACACCGAUAGCGAAGGCAGCUCACUAAGCUGUAACUGACGCUCAUGCACGAAAGCGUGGGGAUCAAACAGGAUUAGAUACCCUAGUAGUCC